CAGGGAAUAGUUUAAAUAGAACUUCAGCUUUGGGGGUUGACGGUGAGACUGUAGUUUCUUCCUUGA
ensembl:Mt_tRNA